rnacentral:rRNA from 1 species
GGUAGAGAGAAGCUUGCUUCUCUUGAGAGCGGCGGACGGGUGAGUAAUGCCUAGGAAUCUGCCUGGUAGUGGGGGAUAACGUUCGGAAACGGACGCUAAUACCGCAUACGUCCUACGGGAGAAAGCAGGGGACCUUCGGGCCUUGCGCUAUCAGAUGAGCCUAGGUCGGAUUAGCUAGUUGGUGAGGUAAUGGCUCACCAAGGCGACGAUCCGUAACUGGUCUGAGAGGAUGAUCAGUCACACUGGAACUGAGACACGGUCCAGACUCCUACGGGAGGCAGCAGUGGGGAAUAUUGGACAAUGGGCGAAAGCCUGAUCCAGCCAUGCCGCGUGUGUGAAGAAGGUCUUCGGAUUGUAAAGCACUUUAAGUUGGGAGGAAGGGCAGUUACCUAAUACGUGAUUGUUUUGACGUUACCGACAGAAUAAGCACCGGCUAACUCUGUGCCAGCAGCCGCGGUAAUACAGAGGGUGCAAGCGUUAAUCGGAAUUACUGGGCGUAAAGCGCGCGUAGGUGGUUAGUUAAGUUGGAUGUGAAAUCCCCGGGCUCAACCUGGGAACUGCAUUCAAAACUGACUGACUAGAGUAUGGUAGAGGGUGGUGGAAUUUCCUGUGUAGCGAUGAAAUGCGUAGAUAUAGGAAGGAACACCAGUGGCGAACGCGACCACCUGGACUGAUACUGACACUGAGGUGCGAAAGCGUGGGGAGCAAACAGGAUUAGAUACCCUGGUAGUCCACGCCGUAAACGAUGUCAACUAGCCGUUGGGAGCCUUGAGCUCUUAGUGGCGCAGCUAACGCAUUAAGUUGACCGCCUGGGGAGUACGGCCGCAUGGUUAAAACUCAAAUGAAUUGACGGGG